rnacentral:rRNA from 1 species
CCAAUAGCGUAUAUUAAAGUUGUUGCAGUUAAAAAGCUCGUAGUUGAAUUUCGGGAUCAGUACGCUGGUCGUACCUUCGGUACGUACUGGUGUCACUGAUUCCUCCCUUCUGAAGAACCGUCAUGCCAUUCAGUUGGUGUGGCAGGGAAUCAGGACUGUUACUUUGAAAAAAUUAGAGUGUUUAAAGCAGGCACGCGCUU